GCCUCCGUGGCGUAAUGGUAACGCGUUGGACUUCUAGCAUUCCAUUGCAAUCCAAAGACUGCGGGUUCGAGCCCCGCCGGAGGUG